rnacentral:siRNA from 1 species
UAAACUAUUCAGGUUCCGCGUUGG